rnacentral:rRNA from 1 species
GACGAACGCUGGCGGCGUGCUUAACACAUGCAAGUCGAACGGUAAGGCCCUUCGGGGUACACGAGUGGCGAACGGGUGAGUAACACGUGGGUGAUCUGCCCUGCACUUCGGGAUAAGCCUGGGAAACUGGGUCUAAUACCGGAUAGGACCCUGGGAUGCAUGUCCUGGGGUGGAAAGCUUUUGCGGUGUGGGAUGGGCCCGCGGCCUAUCAGCUUGUUGGUGGGGUGAUGGCCUACCAGGGCGACGACGGGUAGCCGGCCUGAGAGGGUGACCGGCCACACUGGGACUGAGAUACGGCCCAGACUCCUACGGGAGGCAGCAGUGGGGAAUAUUGCACAAUGGGCGCAAGCCUGAUGCAGCGACGCCGCGGGAGGGAUGACGGCCUUCGGGUUGUAAACCUCUUUCAGCACCGACGAAGCGCAAGUGACGGUAGGUGCAGAAGAAGGACCGGCCAACUACGUGCCAGCCGCCGCAGUAA